UACGUAGGGGGCAAGCGUUGUCCGGAUUUAUUGGGCGUAAAGAGCGUGUAGGCGGCUUGGAAGGUCAGCUGUGAAAACUCGAGGCUCAACCUCGAGACGUCGGUUGAAACCACCUGGCUAGAGUCCGGAAGAGGAGAGUGGAAUUCCCGGUGUAGCGGUGAAAUGCGCAGAUAUCGGGAGGAACACCGGUGGCGAAGGCGGCAUCCUGGACCGGCAUUGACGCUGAGGAGCGAAAGCCAGGGGAGCGAACAGG
rnacentral:rRNA from 1 species